GAUGAAGAACGUAGCGAAAUGCGAUACUUGGUGUGAAUUGCAGAAUCCGUGAACCAUCGAGUCUUUGAACGCAAGUUGCGCCCGAAGCCAUUAGGCCGAGGGCACGCCUGCCUGGGCGUCACACGUCGUUGCCCCCCCAUCUACUCCUUCGGGAUUGCGGGGGGCGGAUGAUGGCCUCCCGUGCGCCUCGCCGCGCGGUUGGCAUAAAUGCCAAGUCCUCGGCGACGCACGCCACGACAAUCGGUGGUUGCGAAACCUCGGUUGCCCGUCGUGUGCGGUCGUCGCGCAUCGAGGGCUCGAAAAAAUUGCCGGGUUCCGGCUCGGCUUUCAACGCGACCCCAGGUCAGGCGGGGUUACCCGCUGAAUUUAAGCAUAUCAAUAAGCGGAGGA
rnacentral:misc_RNA from 1 species